rnacentral:rRNA from 1 species
AUCCUGCUCAGGACGAACGCUGGCGGCGUGCUUAACACAUGCAAGUCGAGCGGUAAGGCCCUUCGGGGUACACGAGCGGCGAACGGGUGAGUAACACGUGGGUGAUCUGCCCUGCACUUCGGGAUAAGCCUGGGAAACUGGGUCUAAUACCGGAUAUGACCAAAGGCUGCAUGGCUUUUGGUGGAAAGGUUUACUGGUGCAGGAUGGGCCCGCGGCCUAUCAGCUUGUUGGUGGGGUAAUGGCCUACCAAGGCGACGACGGGUAGCCGACCUGAGAGGGUGACCGGCCACACUGGGACUGAGACACGGCCCAGACUCCUACGGGAGGCAGCAGUGGGGAAUAUUGCACAAUGGGCGAAAGCCUGAUGCAGCGACGCCGCGUGAGGGAUGAAGGCCUUCGGGUUGUAAACCUCUUUCAGCAGGGACGAAGCGAGAGUGACGGUACCUGCAGAAGAAGCACCG